GCGGACGUAGCUCAGUUGGUAGAGCACAACCUUGCCAAGGUUGGGGUCGCGAGUUCGAAUCUCGUCGUCCGCU
rnacentral:tRNA from 2 species